rnacentral:rRNA from 1 species
CCUACGGGUGGCAGCAGUGGGGGAUAUUGGACAAUGGGGGAAACCCUGAUCCAGCGACGCCGCGUGAGUGAAGAAGUAUUUCGGUAUGUAAAGCUCUAUCAGCAGGGAAGAAAGAAAUGACGGUACCUGCGUAAGAAGCCCCGGUUAACUACGUGCCAGCAGCCGCGGUAAUACGUCGGGGGCAAGCGUUAUCCGGAAUUACUGGGUGUAAAGGGAGCGUAGACGGUAAUGCAAGUCUGGAGUGAAAGGCGGGGGCCCACCCCCCGGACUGCUCUGGAUACUGUGUAACUGGAGUGCAGGAGAGGCAGGCGGAAUUCCUGGUGUAGCGGUGAAAUGCGUAGAUAUGAGGAGGAACACCAGUGGCGAAGGCGGCCUGCUGGACUGUAACUGACGUUGAGGCUCGAAAGCGUGGGGAGCAAACAGGAUUAGAUACCCUAGUAGUC